GGUACCGCCGGAUGGAACCGGUCACGAGGGUUGGGGAGCCCGACGACUGGCAGGCAUCCGAGUUCGGAACGGGUUUUAGGGAGCCCGGACUGGACGAUCCGGCGAAGGAG
ncrna:unclassified sequences Actinomyces-1 RNA